UGGGGAAUUUUGGACAAUGGGCGAAAGCCUGAUCCAGCAAUGCCGCGUGUGUGAAGAAGGCCUUCGGGUUGUAAAGCACUUUUGUCCGGAAAGAAAUCCUUGGCUCUAAUACAGUCGGGGGAUGACGGUACCGGAAGAAUAAGCACCGGCUAACUACGUGCCAGCAGCCGCGGUAAUACGUAGGGUGCAAGCGUUAAUCGGAAUUACUGGGCGUAAAGCGUGCGCAGGCGGUUUGCUAAGACCGAUGUGAAAUCCCCGGGCUCAACCUGGGAACUGCAUUGGUGACUGGCAGGCUAGAGUAUGGCAGAGGGGGGUAGAAUUCCACGUGUAGCAGUGAAAUGCGUAGAGAUGUGGAGGAAUACCGAUGGCGAAGGCAGCCCCCUGGGCCAAUACUGACGCUCAUACACGAAAGCGUGGGGAGCAAACAGGAUUAGAUACCCUGGUAGUCCACGCCCUAAACGAUGUCAACUAGUUGUUGGGGAUUCAUUUUCCUUAGUAACGUAGCUAACGCGUGAAGUUGACCGCCUGGGGAGUACGGUCGCAAGAUUAAAACUCAAAUGGAAUUGACGGGGUCAUAGCUGUUUCCU
rnacentral:rRNA from 1 species